rnacentral:rRNA from 1 species
CGAGGCGGAGCCGCGGGUGGUCUGGCACCUUCGCUUACGCCGGCCGGAACGGGUGAGUACAAGGCUUACGGAAAUCCGCCUCUUCGUCGGGGGAACAAACAUUUCCGAAAGGAAACGCUAAUACCGCAUACGCCCUCACGGGGGAAAGCAGGGGAACUUCGGAACCUUCGCGCUAAUAGAUGAGCCUAAGUCGGAUUAGCUAGUUCGGUGGGGUAAAGGCCUACCAAGGCGAACGAUCUGUAGCGGGUCUGAGAGGAUGAUCCGCCACACUGGGACUGAGACACGGCCCAGACUCCUACGGGAGGCAGCAGUGGGGAAUAUUGGACAAUGGGCGGAAGCCUGAUCCAGCCAUGCCGCGUGUGUGAAGAAGGCCUUUUGGUUGUAAAGCACUUUAAGCGAGGAGGAGGCUACUAGUACUAAUACUACUGGAUAGUGGACGUUACUCGCAGAAUAAGCACCGGCUAACUCUGUGCCAGCAGCCGCGGUAAUACAGAGGGUGCGAGCGUUAAUCGGAUUUACUGGGCGUAAAGCGUGCGUAGGCGGCUGAUUAAGUCGGAUGUGAAAUCCCUGAGCUUAACUUAGGAAUUGCAUUCGAUACUGGUCAGCUAGAGUAUGGGAGAGGAUGGUAGAAUUCCAGGUGUAGCGGUGAAAUGCGUAGAGAUCUGGAGGAAUACCGAUGGCGAAGGCAGCCAUCUGGCCUAAUACUGACGCUGAGGUACGAAAGCAUGGGGAGCAAACAGGAUUAGAUACCCUGGUAGU